GAUUUAUAGUUGCUACUUGGCUAAAACAAAUGUUUGCUUAGGUUUGACUUGUGAAGCUAUUUUUUAUUAUUAAGAUCAUUUCUAUACUUUAGGUGAAGGCAUUGAAAGAGAAGAUUGAAUCAGAAAAGGGGAAAGAUGCUUUUCCAGCAGCUGGCCAAAAACUAAUUUAUGCAGGUAAAAUUCUUAAUGAUGAUACUCCUCUUAAAGAAUAUAAAAUAGAUGAGAAGAACUUUGUGGUGGUUAUGGUGACAAAACCCAAACCAGCAGCUGCACCAACACAAUCACUGGCAACAACUCAGCAAUCAAAUGCUAUCACCACUGUUAGCUCUACAAUGGCAGCUGCAGCUCCCACAUCAGUCCCUGCUCCAGCUCCUGUCUCUACCACUCCAACAUCAGCUGCAGUUGCUUGUGAACCUAUACCUGUAAGUGCCCCUAAAGAAGAGAAACCAUCUGAGACACCAGCUGUUCUCGGUCCAUCAUCAACUGGCAGGUAUGAAUGAGCCUCCCAGAAGGGUUUCUGUGUUUAUUUCCUCUUGUUUCUGGUUUUGGUUUUAAAAAUAAGUUCUCCAUUGUAAUAUUAGUUCAGAUUUUUUAUUUACCUAUUUUUCCCCCUAAAUGUAAUGUCUGUCUAUGGCUCAAAUAUAAUGUUAUUAUGGGUAAUAAGCCCCCCACCCCAGAAGUAUGACCUUGUGAUUAAACUUACAUAGCUGGCAGUCAAGUAAUACAGGACGUAAUCUACUCUCCUUGGGCAUGUCGUGGAGUUGUUGUGACUCAACUUUUUUUUUUUCUUUUAAACUGAGGCUAUUUUGCUAUGCCUGCAUGAUAAACUGAUGUUUAUGAAGCUCUUCAAGACUUUAAAUGGGUGUGUUGUCCCAUCCUGUCUUGUUUCCCUUUCCCCCCCCACACACUUUUUUUUUUAAGAUCUGAUUUUGUUUUGAAUCACGCUGGUCAGAUUUGAUACACGUGAUGUAGUAAGUUCUUAUUCCAAUAAGAAUCCCCUCUCUUCUGGAAAGAGAUAAAAUUAAAGGAUCUACAGUGUAUACACUUUUGAUGGAAUUCAACUUUGAACCAAAAGGUAGGAUACAGUAUUGCUCUUAAUCAUAGAGUAUCUUAAAGCUACGAGACUAUUCAUCAUAAACAAUCCUUGGCCCUUCUGUAAGUGGUUCUGGUGGUUAGGAUGGCUUGUGGUCUCGGCUCUCAGAGUUCAAAAAAAUCAAGCGCAAGUUUGCAGUUGCAUCUCUGGUUAAUACUCUACCCUUUGCUCGUUUGAAGUUGCUUGAGGAUUGCAUAGGAUUUAAAAGAAAAAAUAGUUGGCUAUAACUUCAUGGCCCUUGGAGUGUUGCAUAACUUUAGGUCUUAAUUCUCCAUAUACAGGCUUAUAAUUAUUUGUGUACUAUUUAUGUGAAUGCUGUUGCACAAGACAUGAUUUUUUGAAGUAAUAGUAUUUAAAUAACAUCCAAUAUGGGUUUAUUUUGGGAAUGGGGAAACAAAGCUUGGCACUGAUGGAAAUGUUGGCACUGAUUUCUUGCAAUAAAUACCCCUAAUUAUAGAUGUAAUCUUGCUUU
ensembl:lncRNA